rnacentral:rRNA from 1 species
UACGAAGGGGGCUAGCGUUGCUCGGAAUCACUGGGCGUAAAGGGUGCGUAGGCGGAUUGUUAAGUCAGGGGUGAAAUCCUGGAGCUCAACUCCAGAACUGCCUUUGAUACUGGCGAUCUUGAGUCCGGGAGAGGUGAGUGGAACUCCGAGUGUAGAGGUGAAAUUCGUAGAUAUUCGCAAGAACACCAGUGGCGAAGGCGGCUCACUGGCCCGGUACUGACGCUGAGGUGCGAAAGCGUGGGGAGCAAACAGG